UAAGACGGAGGGUGCUAGCGUUGUUCGGAAUGACUGGGCGUAAAGGGCGCGUAGGCGGCCGAUCAAGUCGGGUGUGAAAGCCCGGGGCUCAACCCCGGAACGGCACCCGAUACUGGUUGGCUGGAGACCGGGAGAGGAGGGUGGAAUAUCCAGUGUAGAGGUGAAAUUCGUAGAUAUUGGAUGGAACACCAGUGGCGAAAGCGGCUCUCUGGCCCGGAUCUGACGCUGAGGCGCGAAAGCGUGGGGAGCAAACAGGAUUAGAUACCCUGGUAGUCCACGCCCUAAACGAUGCUGGCUAGAUGUUGGGGGGCUUGCCCCUCGGUGUCGGAGCUAACGUGUUAAGCCAGCCGCCUGGGAAGUACGGCCGCAAGGUUA
rnacentral:rRNA from 1 species